rnacentral:rRNA from 1 species
UACAGAGGGAGCGAGCGUUAUCCGGAAUGAUUGGGCGUAAAGCGUCUGUAGGUGGUUUAGAAAGUCUACUGUCAAAUACCAAGGCUCAACCUUGGGCAGGCAGUAGAGUACUUUUAGACUAGAGUGUGGUAGAGGUAGAGGGAAUCCCUAGCGUAACAGUGAAAUGUGUAGAUUUUAGGGAGAACACAGCGGCGAAGGCGCUCUACUGGGCCAAGACUGACACUGAGGGAGCGAAAAGCUAGGGGGAGCGAAAUAGG